CCAGCGCCGGCCCCGCCCCCACUUCCGUCGCGGUGCUCGGGGCCCGGCUGGUUAGUGUUUGCGGCUGCGGAUCGUAUGAGACUAGCACGACUCAUGAAGGUGUUCGUCACUGGUCCGCUGCCGGCCGAGGGCCGGGCUGUGCUCGCCAAGGCCGCAGACUGUGAAGUGGAGCAGUGGAAUUCAGACGAUCCCAUCCCCAGAAAGGAACUGGAGCAAAGUGUGGUGGGGGCUCAUGGCUUGCUCUGCCGCCUCACUGACCACGUGGACAAGGAACUUCUGGAUGCUGCAGGAGCUAACCUCAAAGUCAUCAGCACCUUGUCAGUGGGGGUUGACCACUUGGCCUUGGAUGAAAUCAAGAAACGCGGGAUCCGGGUGGGCUACACGCCAGGUGUCCUGACAGAUGCCACCGCAGAACUCGCUGUCUCCCUGCUACUCACGACCUGCCGCCGGCUGCCAGAGGCCAUAGAGGAAGUAAAGAACGGCGGCUGGAGCUCCUGGAAUCCCUUAUGGAUGUGCGGCUACGGACUCUCGCAGAGCACUGUUGGCAUUGUGGGGCUGGGACGCAUAGGUCAGGCGAUUGCCCGACGACUGAAACCAUUUGGUGUCCAGAGAUUUCUCUACACGGGGCGCCAGCCCAGGCCUCAGGAAGCAGCAGAAUUCCAGGCGGAGUUUGUGCCUAUUGCUCAGCUGGCUGCAGAGUCGGACUUCAUUGUAGUGGCCUGCUCCUUAACACCUGCUACCAGGGGGCUCUGCAACAAGGAUUUAUUCCAGAAGAUGAAGAACACGGCUGUUUUCGUCAACAUCAGCAGGGGAGAUGUGGUAAACCAGGACGACCUGUACCAGGCAUUAACCAGCGGCCAGAUUGCAGCAGCAGGACUGGACGUGACCACUCCAGAACCACUGCCUCCAAGCCACCCGCUGCUGACCCUCAAGAACUGUGCCCUUGGCAAUCCUCCUGACCCCAUCCCCAUGCCAGCCUGCAAGGAACACUUGCUGUGAUGUGAGGGUUACUGUCCACAGCCAGGAAAGCGGGCGCUCUCCCCAUUCAUAUCCGCAUGCAGCUCUGGGAGGCGGGCAGCUCUUCAGAGAGAAUUCCUCAUCUGCUCUGCACUGGGACCAGAGUGAUCCUGCCCCACAUCGGCAGCGCCACCUACAAAACCCGCAACACCAUGUCCGUGCUGGCAGCUAACAACUUGCUGGCUGGCCUACGAGGGGAGCCGAUGCCCAGUGAACUC